rnacentral:rRNA from 1 species
AUACGGAGGGAGCGAGCGUUAAUCGGAAUUACUGGGCGUAAAGCGCGCGUAGGCGGCUUUGUCAGUCGGAUGUGAAAGCCCUGGGCUUAACCUGGGAAUGGCAUUCGAUACUGCAGAGCUAGAGUAUGGUAGAGGGAAGUGGAAUUUCCGGUGUAGCGGUGAAAUGCGUAGAUAUCGGAAGGAACACCAGUGGCGAAGGCGACUUCCUGGGCCAAUACUGACGCUGAGGUGCGAAAGCGUGGGGAGCAAACAGGAUUAGAAACCCCGGUAGUCC